rnacentral:rRNA from 1 species
AAACCCCCUCGCCGAAAGACUAAGGUUUCCUGAUCAACGCUAAUCGGAUCAGGGUCAGUCGGGUCCUAAGGCUCAGCCGAACGGCGAUGCCGAUGGCAGAAACGGUUAAUAUUCCGUUACUACCUUCAGGAGUGACGUGGAGACGCAGUAGUGACAGUGCCGCCAUCUGACGGAAUAGAUGGUUGAAGGGUGUAGGAGUCGAUCAUGGCAGGCAAAUCCACCAUGAGAUCCGAACCUGACAGUAUGCCGCGUCCUUCGGGACAAGGCAAUAGUGCGCGUAAGCAUGCUGCCGAGAAAAUCCGCUAAACUUAAUCCUGCAGGUACCCGUACCGCAAACGGACACACGUAGUCGGGAUGAAUAUUCUAAGGCGCUUGAGUGAUUCACGGUUAAGGAACUAGGCAAACUGACCCUGUAACUUCGGGAUAAAGGGUCCCUACCCUUUUAUGGGAGGGCGCAGAGAAUCGGUCCAGGCAACUGUUUAACAAAAACACAGGGCUGUGCCAAAUCGAAAGAUCCAGUAUACAGCCUGACACCUGCCCGGUGCUGGAAGGUUAAGAGGAGAUGUCAUCGAUAAGAGAAGCGUUGAAUUGAAGCCCCAGUAAACGGCGGCCGUAACUAUAACGGUCCUAAGGUAGCGAAAUUCCUUGUCGGGUAAGUUCCGACCUGCACGAAUGGUGUAAUGAUCUGGACGCUGUCUCAACCGUGAGCUCAGUGAAAUUGUAGUAUCGGUGAAGAUGCCGAUUACCCGCGAUGGGACGAAAAGACCCCGUGAACCUUUACUAUAGCUUAACAUUGAAUUUGGGUAAUUGAUGUGUAGGAUAGGCCGGAGACUUUGAAUCAGGUACGCCAGUAUUUGUGGAGUCGCUGUUGAAAUACGGCCCUUUGAUUAUUUGAGUUCUAACUCGUAGAUGCGAGGACACUGUUUGGUGGGUAGUUUGACUGGGGUGGUCGCCUCCAAAAGUGUAACGGAGGCUUCUAAAGGUGCCCUCACGACGAUUGGUAACCGUCGGCAGAGUGUAAUGGCAUAAGGGCGCUUGACUGGGAGACUAACAAGUCGAUCAGGUAGGAAACUAGAGCAUAGUGAUCCGGUGUUUCCGUAUGGAAGGGACAUCGCUCAAAGGAUAAAAGGUACUCCGGGGAUAACAGGCUGAUCCCUCCCAAGAGCUCAUAUCGACGGAGUGGUUUGGCACCUCGAUGUCGGCUCGUCACAUCCUGGGGCUGGAGAAGGUCCCA